UCUCAGUUUAAUGAGACGUGUGGAGUUAGGUGAAUUAGCAUCGCACCCAAAAUAUGCCUUCAGAAUUUGUGAAGUGAAACUUUUAAUAAGGGUGAAAACGAGGUUUUGAAAAUGAGUCAGAGGAAGAGUCCAACAAAUGAUGCUAUUUUUCACAUUACCACCAGUCGUGAUAAAGCAGGGCUUGAUGUCAAAUACAUUGAUGCAUUUAAAGGCAGGGGAGUGUUUACCAUGACGCACUUCACUAAAGGAGAGUUCGUGCUAGAAUACAGAGGAGAGCUCAUGAAAUCUCUGGAAAGUAACAGAAGACACCGAAUUUACCACAACAACUUGAAAGGAUUUAUGUUCGACUUCAUCUGGCACGAUAAAUUCUGGACGUGAGUACUCCUAUAUAUUUCUUUAUCCAUUUCGGUAGUGUAUGCGGUAUGAGCUGCGGGGGUUUUAAACGCACAGUUAAAGUUUUAGCUGUGAAAAAAAGUUUUCCCUCGCCUCGCUUCACUAAGACAUGG